UGUAUUCAUGAGCGUGUUUGUUGUUUGACGGAUUUUGACGUAAGCGAAAGAAAAAGAAAAAGAAAUUUUUUGUCGAGUUGCCGAAUUGCCGCGAACAAAUCAUGACCAGCAGUUGCUGCUGGUCGGAAUCUUUGGAUUUACCAUGGAUUAGAGGUGGAAUCUGGACAGAGGACGAAAGAGGCGGCUGGUGAAACAAAUUCCAUCGGUCAGUUAAGUCGACAGCCAUCAUCACCUGGUUUAUCAUUCGAUAAGAUGUUACGAAGUCGCAACAUUCGCGUUGCGGUUUCCGUUCAUCUCGGGAAGAUACACCAACCGCCCAAAGGUGGACAUCAGGGGUCAGAGGAACAAAUGAUGUCGUCGAUACCCAUACUAGUACUGAUGUUGCAGCUGUAGGUUGGAUAAUAAAUUUGUUGAAAAAAUUAA